rnacentral:tRNA from 3 species
CGGGGCGUAGCGCAGUUUGGCUAGCGCGCCUGCCUUGGGAGCAGGAGGCCGGAGGUUCAAAUCCUCUCGCCCCGACCA